ACAACGGCGGGUCUCGCGGCCCACCUCCCACCCGUGUCUCUCUAUACCUGUUGCUUUGGCGGGCCCACCGUGAGGUCGCCGGGGGACGAACGUCCCCGGGCCCGCGCCCGCCGAAGCGCCCUGUGAACCCUGAUGAAGAUGGGCUGUCUGAGUUGUACGAAAAUCGUCAAAACUUUCAACAAUGGAUCUCUUGGUUCCGGCAUCGAUGAAGAACGCAGCGAAAUGCGAUAAGUAAUGUGAAUUGCAGAAUUCCGUGAAUCAUCGAAUCUUUGAACGCACAUUGCGCCCCCUGGCAUUCCGGGGGGCAUGCCUGUCCGAGCGUCAUUUCUGCCCUCAAGCACGGCUUGUGUGUUGGGUGUGGUCCCCCCGGGGACCGGCCCGAAAGGCAGCGGCGACGUCCGUCUGGUCCUCGAGCGUAUGGGGCUCUGUCACUCGCUCGGGAAGGACCUGCGGGGGUUGGUCACCACCACCAUUUUACCACGGUUGACCUCGGAUGCAUG
rnacentral:rRNA from 1 species